ensembl:snRNA U6 U6 spliceosomal RNA
GUGUUCACUUCUGCAGCACAUAUACUAAAAUUGUAACAAUACAGAGAUUAGCAUGGCCCCUGCGCAAGGAUGACAUGCAAAUUCAUGAAGCGUUCCACAUUUUU